rnacentral:rRNA from 1 species
UACGUAGGGUGCGAGCGUUGUCCGGAAUUAUUGGGCGUAAAGGGCUCGUAGGCGGUUUGUCGCGUCGGGAGUGAAAACUCAGGGCUUAACCCUGAGCCUGCUUCCGAUACGGGCAGACUAGAGGUAUGCAGGGGAGAACGGAAUUCCUGGUGUAGCGGUGAAAUGCGCAGAUAUCAGGAGGAACACCGGUGGCGAAGGCGGUUCUCUGGGCAUUACCUGACGCUGAGGAGCGAAAGUGCGGGGAGCGAACAGG